rfam:Triticum aestivum genome assembly, contig: Triticum_aestivum_CS42_TGACv1_scaffold_406094_5BL
GAACUACUCCCUCCAUCUGAAAAAGCUUGACCCCCAAAUGGAUGUAUGUAGCACCAAGUUAGUGCUAGAUACAUCCAUUUGAGGAACAAGCUUUUUCGGACGAAGGGAGUACAUA